rnacentral:misc_RNA from 1 species
GGCCUCCUCAGCUCUUCCCGAAUCCCUAAUUUUAACUCAGCGGCUAAAGAGCUUUGACUCUAGCGUAGGACUCAGUCGCAAAGCUUUUCGACUCGGGAAAUUUGUUCAGGACCUCAACGCUCUUAGAAGCUCUCAUUUCCAUUCUAAACAAGAAAUUCUCCUCUCCAUCAUUGCUUACGGAGGCGAAGGCUUCUAUUAUUUUGUUGAACAGUUUGUUUGGCUGGCUAAAGCAGGCUUG